AACGAACGCUGGCGGCAUGCCUAACACAUGCAAGUCGAACGAGACCUUCGUGUCUAGUGGCGCACGGGUGCGUAACGCGUGGGAACCUGCCCUUAGGUUCGGAAUAACUCCCCGAAAGGGGUGCUAAUACCGGAUAAUGUCUUCGGACCAAAGAUUUAUCGCCUUUGGAUGGGCCCGCGUUGGAUUAGCUAGUUGGUAGGGUAAAAGCCUACCAAGGCGACGAUCCAUAGCUGGUCUGAGAGGAUGAUCAGCCACACUGGGACUGAGACACGGCCCAGACUCCUACGGGAGGCAGCAGUGGGGAAUAUUGGACAAUGGGCGAAAGCCUGAUCCAGCAAUGCCGCGUGAGUGAUGAAGGCCUUAGGGUUGUAAAGCUCUUUUACCCGGGAUGAUAAUGACAGUACCGGGAGAAUAAGCGCCGGCUAACUCCGUG
rnacentral:rRNA from 1 species